GCUCUGGACAAUGUCCUGUAAGAGGGUGUGGUGCACAAGUUCUGGGCUCUGCCUUUAGAGGGGAAGGGGUUGCAUCACUCCCUUCUUAACAGCAGAUUGUGAUGUGUGGCAUGGAUUGGGGACAAAAGACCAUGAGAACUGCCAGGUCUAGACAACUGGCCUCUGGAGCAGGUUUGCUGAGAGGGAAACUGCCCGUGUCUUUAAUCACCAUUAUUUGGGCUUCCUCUUGUGUGCAGUUCUUUUUUUCCUAAGUGAUACCUCUCCAUACAGAUGUAGACAGGAAAGAAAUAGAUAGCAGAGAGGCCCAAGGGAGACUUUAGCUCUCACAGUGCUCUGAGGGAGGGUCGGCCACAGGAAUAGUCCACAUCCGCACCCCUGGGUGGUAGUGAGGGAGGCAGAAAGGAGACUUGAGCCUCCUCUGGGUGUAGGGUCCUGGGUCCUUCUCAUUAGUGCCUCUUCCAACCCAGUAACCAAUGUCUGCCAUUGUUCUGGUCACCUGCUUUCUGAGGGUGACUUAAUUUGGCAUCAUGGGUCAGAAGCAGGUGAGAUGAGCCAGAGGAUCUGGAGCCAUCUCUACAAGUCACUGACCGCGAGACUCCAAACAGGUCUCUCCACUUCUCAGGCCUCAUCUGCAGUGUCUGGGAGAUGGGGUAACACUGGUCUCCAGGGGCUUCUCUUUUGAUGAGGUGGGGGGAGAUGCAAUGAUGGUUUUCUCUUCCCAUCCCCAUCCUUUUUUCUCAAGCGUGUCCUCUACAGCCUGAUUUAAUAAUUUAUUUGCUUCGUUAUUUACUUAUUUAGAGACUGGCUUCCAUUUGUAGCUCGGGCUGGUCUUGUCCUACUGCCCCAGUCUCUUGGGUGCUGGUUUAACCAUCCAGGCAAGGAAGGAGGUAUUCUAAAGAGACACUUGUGAGCCUCACUUCGACUAUCAGACUAUUGAUCAAGAAUUCCUCUAGGAUGUGGAAAGGAGAGAAGGCGUGGGCCAGCCAAACAGGAACAUCGAUAUUGAAAAGAGAUCUAUAACUCGUGGACAGCUCACAGGACGGGCAAUGAUGGGCUGAAGGUGGGCAGUGCACACCUUGACGAGGACUCCUUGGGAAAUGGCAGUCUUGGAAGCAGACGCACAGGAAGGAAGCCAUUGUCUGCUGGAAGCCUGCCCUGUGCGGGUCCUUCCCGCAUGCUCCUUCAGUCCCCAGAGGUUGUGUCACCUUUCAGGAGAGGAAGCACAGGAUGCACCAGGGCUGUGGUGGGGCCCGAGACCAGGCCGGCCCUGCAUAGACUGAAGGCUGAGUCACACGGGGCAUGCUCUGUUGAUUUGCUUUGCUUCUUUUCAUGUUGGGAAGGCCCCAAGGAGAGACAGGCCUGGCCCAGAAGCAUCCCCCAACUCUGCCUCCCACUUGGUACCUACCAUGAGGAGCCCCUUGUAGGCGUAGACAAUGCCAAGCCAGAUGGUCAUGUGGGUGUUUUCGCAGUGUUCCAGCAAUGGGCGGAUGGAGAUGUCCCGGCCUGCUGGGUCCGGCUGCAUAAAGAGAAAACAAAAACCCCAGGGACAGAUUGGCCACCUUCCAGCAGCAGAGUCCCUAGCCAAAGGUCUCCUUUUCCCACAUGCUCCACAACUGGGGAUACAUCAGGAGAACUUUGCGAUCCGAUAGUGGGACGAAGGUACCAGCUAGCAACAACUGUGAUAUGUUUGAUGGCUGUAACUCAAGCCUGAAUGAACCCUGGUGCUGUGGCUUCUUCAUGGUGGUCCAACUUGAAAUAGAGGUGCUAAGGGAAAGGGGUGCAUUAGUACUGUGCUCCAAGGAUCUGGUAAGACUUUAAACCCUUCUGAUGGAAAUGAAGUGAUUCUGAAGAUACGUAGCCCCGCCUUCCUCUCAGUAGCACCCCAAAGAACUGCAAUUUCCCCCCGGAAUCUCACUCAAGUCUGAUUCCAGCCAGCCACAGAGCAUCUCCUAGAAAGAAAUCACUCGUGGCACUGACAGCUCGUCAGACCACCUUGCAGAAGAGACGGGAGCCAAGACCAUGAUGGAUUGAGGAUGGUCUUUACCACACCUUGACCAGAAGUGCUUUUUUAUGCCUUCCUUGGGCCCUCUAAACCAAAACUUCAUGUGCGGACCCAAGGAUGGCUUGGGAGGGGCUCACUGAGUCUCUGUCCCUCUCCCAGUGUGCCCAAGUUGAACAAUGUCUCCUUUCUCCUUUUUUUUUUUUUUUUUUUUUUUUUUUGAGAUGGGAUUUCUCUGUAUAGCCCUAGCUGUCCUGGAACUUGCUCUGUAGACCAAGUUGGUCUCAAACUUAGAAGUCUGUCUAUCUCAGCCUCCCAAGUGCUGGGUUGGAUUAAAGAUUUACAUGUCACUGGUACCUGGCUCUUACCUUUUUUUUUUUCAAAUAGUGCUUAUUUAAUUGCCUUAUUAAGAAUAAAUGGUCAAGGGGUUGGGGAUUUAGCUCAGUGGUAGAGCGCUUGCCUAGCAAGCGCAAGGCCCUGGGUUCGGUCCCCAGCUCCGAAAAAAAAAAAAAAAAAAGAAAAAAAGAAUAAAUGGUCAAAGCUUGCUGAUCGGGGUUGUUAGGGCCCAGACUUCAGCAGUACAGAGAUUAAAACUGGAAUGACACAGAUGAUAUUAGCAUGGCAAUAUGUGUUCAGUAUUUUCACUGCUGAGCUCUGGACCACUGAUGGCUUCUGGAGAGGAUGAGUCAUUUUUCUUUAAGGCUGUGGUCCCUGGUAGGUGGGCUAUGUCUCAGUGGCUGACAUCUAGGAAUGUAUAGACAGCGCAAACUGCAUUUUAUGGUUAUCAAAAGGGGGAAAGGUACAACAUUGGGGUGGGGUAGGAGGAUGGGGUAGAUCUGGGAGGAAUUAGGGUGAAGUGUGUAUGUAUGGAACAUGAUCAAAAUACACUGCAAGAAAUUCUCAAAGAAUUGAUAAAAGUACAGUAAGAAAAUUCCAGUAACAAGUCACCCCAUAGGAGGUGCCUGUAAAACUUGUUGGAGGAGCAAGAAAGACAACUGGUUGUGAGUUGCGCAGGGAGGUCUUGAGGAGUCUUUGGAGUGAGCUUGGGCAGCUGGGAUUACAGAAUACAUUGGGCAGACAUACAUAGGGGCCAAUACAAGCCCUUCCAGAAAAAAAAGCAUUGAGAAGCUGGGGUGGCAGCCAUAUUCUACAUCACAUGACACGGCCUGGGCCAAAGAUGAUUGGACAAAUGGUGGGUACCUGACUCCAGGCAGCUAAUCCCGAGCCAGGCCAGAGAUCUGUGAGGUUUGCUAAUACUCUUUCCAACGGUAUUUUCUGAACACUUGUCUUUCCCAACCUCUUGAAGACAUCCCA